rnacentral:sRNA from 1 species
UGGUAUGUGAAUAUAUGUGCAAGUGCAUAUAGCCAUGUGCAAGUGCAUAUAGCCAGGUGAGAACAGCGUGUGUCCUGUUCUAUCACUCUCCAACUUAUUCCUCUGAGACAGGGUCUUUUACUGCAUCUAGAACUCUGGAACUAGACUAGUGAUGGUGCCUGCCUUUUUACACGGGUUCCAGAGCUUUGAAAUCAAGUCUCAAUGCUUACAUAGCCAGUGCUCUUACCAAUUGAGCUAUUGCUCCAACCUCUACUCUCAAAUAUUUUUAAAGCUGGCUUCUCCUUGCCCAUUUUUCCUAUAGGAAACUCCCUACUUUGUGAAUGGAAGAGAGGGAUCUAUGCAGUCAAUGCACAACAUCACAGUGGUCCAGAUCCUGAACCAUCUACUUGGGUAGCGGUUAUCAGACAUUCUAGAAGGGAAAGGGUACUUGGUGUAUUUAACUAUUGGGAGGAAAGCACUUUCGUCUCUUAAGCAAACCGAGUUGAUAGGUGGUGGCAGGUGCCUAGAACACCAGCUUCAGACCACCUUCAUGACUGAAGAAUAAAGGAGAAUCAUAUCUUUAUUUCAUAUUUGCCGCCCUACAUAGACAGAGCUAAGUCCUCUUCCACUUUAUCCAUGCUCUAUCUCUAAAGAGGACGUGUUCUAUCUGACUAACAUUUCCAGGUCCCUAGAGUGUGCCAAACACUGCAGUGAAUGCUUUCUUUCAAUAAUCUCCUUUGAUUUACCACAAACAGUCACACCAUGGUCUGCUUGCUGCUUCUGCCUGUCUUCCGAUCUAGGGGUGCAUCUGAUAUACUAACAGGUGAGCGAGAAUGCUUCUGAAUCGGACCUUUGCUCCCCAGCCUCCUGGGACUACUGGAACAUAGCCGGAAAGCCUGAUCACUGUGGAAGCAUCAGCAGUUCACAGCUGGAGAUUCUUGGAACGAAUAUGCCUGGCGAACAGCAUCCAUCCUGCUAAGGAUGCCAAGGAAUUUUCUUCCUCCUGCAUUUACUGGGGAGAUCUCAAACAAUAGUGGGCCAACAGGAGGACGUCACCUGUUUCCUCAUGCCA